CCUGUAGCUCCUCCAGGGGCUACUGCCGGUCCCAAGCCCGGGUAAAGGAGGAGGGUGGG
rnacentral:ribozyme from 2 species